rnacentral:rRNA from 1 species
CCCUUAGAUGUUCUGGGCCGCACGCGCGCUACACUGAUGCAUUCAACGAGUCCAACCUUGACCGAGAGGUCCGGGUAAUCUUUGAAACUGCAUCGUGAUGGGGCUAGAUUAUUGCAAUUAUUAAUCUUCAACGAGGAAUGCCUAGUAAGCGUGAUUCAUCAAAUCGCGUUGAUUACGUCCCUGCCCUUUGUACGCACCGCCCGUCGCUCCUACCGAUUGAGUGUGUUGGUGAGGAGUUUGGAUUGGCCUCGGAAGGUGGUUCGCCACCGUCCGUAGCUGAGAAGUUCUCCAAACCGCCCCACUUAGAGGAAGGAGAAGUCGUAACA